CGCGUUCUGUGGUCGGGGUCUCAACGGCAGCACAGAUAACGUGAUGUCCCUACUGUGGGAAAGUAUCCAACAGGGAUGCGGGUGGCGAAGGCAGCGCCCAAGAUACGCACGGCUACCGGGU
rnacentral:ncRNA from 1 species